rnacentral:rRNA from 1 species
CGGUCACAUGAGAGCUUUGCUCUCUGAUGUACGCGCGGGACAGGUGUGAAACAUGUAUGGGACCCGGCCGUAUAAAUGGGGAAACUCCCGGGAACCGGGGCUAAUACCGGAUGCUUGUUUGAACCGCAAGGUUGGAAAUUUCAGGCGUUUUCCUCUACCACUUACCCAUGGACCCUUAGCUCAUUAGCUAGGUGGUGAGGUAAUGGCUCAACAAUGCCUCGAUGCUCAGCCAAGAUGAUCAGGUGAUCUGGCACAGAGACACUGACACAACUCCCACACUCCGACGGGAGGGGGAAUUUUGGAAUCUGCCCCAAUGCCCGAAAGUCUGAUGCAGCGUGGCCGCGUGAGGGAUUAAGGUUUUCAAAUCCUUUCGCUCUGUUGGAAGGGAAUAACGCUUACCUCUCCAAUAAGUGGGUUCCUUGACGGAACAUAACCAGAAUACCUCCGUGACCUACGUGCCGGCAACACCGAUGAUGCAUACGUGGCACGCGUUUUCCGGAAUUAUUGGGCGUACAGGCC